ensembl:snRNA Gm22534 predicted gene, 22534
GUAUUCUGUGGAACGAGAUGUUUAACAUUCCUCUUGACAGGGGCCUAAGGCACACACACACACAGAUAAACCAUUCCCACCCACUUUGUAGCAUCUACUGCUUUUU